rnacentral:lncRNA from 1 species
GUCGAAGAACGGCUCGGCAUUUUUAUUCCCAAAACGCCUCACCUGGAAUUGUUUCGCAACGGCCUAAUUCGAUGGUUUAUCCCAUGUCCAGGAGCAAUGAACCUCGUCACUCUCAUCUCCGAAACUGACGAGCUGGGGGGCUAACUGUUGGGGUCGGUUUCACCCCAAGCGGAUAAAACCAUCUCAAAGAUGACUAAGUAUUGGAGAAAACCGAUUUGGCAAGAAGGAACAGCUGCC